UACGUAGGGAGCAAGCGUUAUCCGGAUUUAUUGGGUAUAAAGGGUGCGUAGACGGAGAAGCAAGUUAGUUGUGAAAUCCCUCGGCUUAACUGAGGAACUGCAACUAAAACUACUUCCCUUGAGUACUGGAGAGGAAAGUGGAAUUCCUAGUGUAGCGGUGAAAUGCGUAGAUAUUAGGAGGAACACCGGUGGCGAAGGCGGCCUGCUGGACUGCAACUGACGUUGAGGCCCGAAAGCGUGGGGAGCAAACAGG
rnacentral:rRNA from 1 species